ACAUGUGAGAUCCAACAAUGAUUCUUUUUACUUUCAAAUAUAUCCCUCUUCACCUUGAUGAAUGAAAGAAGUAAAAGAGAUGUUGGAAGCAUCAAAUGUACGAGGACCAGGUGCUCGUAUUCCCGCCCAUUUCUUUGAAUAAAAUUAUGUAUAUAAGAUUCUGCCCUUAGGCAAUUGGCGAGUUGCAAAACUUGGAAAGAUAUUGAGAUAAGCUUUUUGAGGGCGACGAGGAUGUCGAUAGGAGCUGCUGCUGCUGCUCACCUCAACCUCACUCCUCACUGUCUUCUCCGUCUCCGGCCAAAAACCAAAGUCCUUGCCGGUAAUCGGCCUGUUAAAUGUACUAUGGAACGCCAGGCGCUCUUUAACCGCAUCGCUCCUGUAUACGAUAAUUUGAACGAUUUGUUGAGCUUGGGGCAGCACCGUGUGUGGAAAAGAAUGGCCGUCUCUUGGAGCGGGGCGAAAGAGGGAGACUGUGUGAUGGAUUUGUGUUGUGGAAGUGGGGAUUUAGCUUUUCUUUUGUCUCAGAAGGUUGGUUCUCAAGGGAAGGUGGCUGGUCUCGACUUCUCGAAGGAACAAUUGUUCAUUGCAGCAUCUCGACAAGACUUGCUUUGGAAGGAUUCCUACAAGAACAUUGUGUGGAUUGAAGGUGAUGCACUUGAAUUACCAUUUCCAGAUAGUUACUUCGAUGCAAUAACUGUAGGCUAUGGGCUACGGAAUCUGGUAGAUAGAAAUAAAGCCAUGAAAGGGAUGUUUCGAGUCCUAAAACCAGGCGCCAGAGUUUCCAUUCUGGACUUCAACAAAAGCUCACAACAGUUUACCUCUACAGUUCAGGAAUGGAUGAUUGAUAACGUUGUUAUUCCAAUGGCAAGCCGUUAUGGCCUUGCUGAAGAGUACACAUACUUGAAAAGUUCAAUUAGGGAGUUCUUAACAGUGAAUAGAGAAGUGCAUGCAAGAACGAUGAGGGAAAACCAAAGCCUCAGAAAAAGGGAACUGGGGAGCAUAGUUGUCACGGCAUCAAAUCGAUCCAAGGCGGUGGAGGGUGGCUAAUCGAUUUGGCGAUGAAUCGCCAGUUAUGGCGUUGCCAUGGCGGUCAAAUUGCCCAUGUGGAAAGAGUUGGAAAAGCUUGCUUUGGAAGCAGGAUUUUCUGAUGCCAAGCAUUAUGAAAUUGGUGGAGGCCUCAUGGGGAACUUGGUAGCAACACGUUAGAUGGUAGUUUCAGUUGUUCUCUCUGUAACUUCACAGACUUAUUGGGUGAAAGAAUAUAAUUACUGCCAAUGUUGCUAUGUGAUAAGCAAGAAAAUGGGUGUGAAUUUAUCUUUGGGAGUUCUUGGUAUUUUCCCUAUUUUUAUUUUGGUGUACUAUUUUGUGGGAGCAUUAUUUAAAGUCUUAUUUAAAAUGGUUCCUUUGAAAUAAAAGCUUAAUUUGUUUUC